rnacentral:rRNA from 1 species
UUUGAUCCUGGCUCAGGAUGAACGCUGGCGGUAUGCUUAACACAUGCAAGUCGAACGGGAUGCUUAGGCAUCUAGUGGCGGACGGGUGAGUAACGCGUGAGAAUCUGGCUCCAGGUCGGGGAUAACAGUUGGAAACGACUGCUAAUACCGGAUGUGCCGAGAGGUGAAAGAUUUAUUGCCUGGAGAUGAGCUCGCGUCUGAUUAGCUAGUUGGUGGUGUAAGGGACCACCAAGGCGUCGAUCAGUAGCUGGUCUGAGAGGAUGAUCAGCCACACUGGGACUGAGACACGGCCCAGACUCCUACGGGAGGCAGCAGUGGGGAAUUUUCCGCAAUGGGCGAAAGCCUGACGGAGCAAUACCGCGUGAGGGAGGAAGGCUCUUGGGUCGUAAACCUCUUUUCUCAAGGAAGAAGAAAGUGACGGUACUUGAGGAAUAAGCAUCGGCUAACUCCGUGCCAGCAGCCGCGGUAAUACGGAGGAUGCAAGCGUUAUCCGGAAUGAUUGGGCGUAAAGGGUCUGCAGGUGGAACUGAAAGUCUGCUGUUAAAGAGUUUGGCUUAACCAAAUAAAAGCGGUGGAAACUACAGAACUAGAGUGCGGUAGGGGCAAAAGGAAUUCCUGGUGUAGCGGUGAAAUGCGUAGAUAUCAGGAAGAACACCGGUGGCGAAAGCGUUUUGCUAGACCGUAACUGACACUGAGGGACGAAAGCUAGGGGAGCGAAUGGGAUUAGAUACCCCAGUAGUCCUAGCCGUAAACGAUGGAUACUAGGCGUGGCUUGUAUCGACCCGAGCCGUGCCGGAGCUAACGCGUUAAGUAUCCCGCCUGGGGAGUACGCACGCAAGUGUGAAACUCAAAGGAAUUGACGGGGGCCCGCACAAGCGGUGGAGUAUGUGGUUUAAUUCGAUGCAACGCGAAGAACCUUACCAAGACUUGACAUCCUGCGAAUCCUGGUGAAAGCUGGGAGUGCCUUAGGGAGCGCAGAGACAGGUGGUGCAUGGCUGUCGUCAGCUCGUGUCGUGAGAUGUUGGGUUAAGUCCCGCAACGAGCGCAACCCUCGUUUUUAGUUGCCAGCAUUAAGUUGGGCACUCUAGAGAGACUGCCGGUGACAAACCGGAGGAAGGUGAGGAUGACGUCAAGUCAGCAUGCCCCUUACGUCUUGGGCUACACACGUACUACAAUGCUACGGACAGAGGGCAGCGAGCCAGGGAUGGCAAGCGAAUCCAGAAACCGUAGCUCAGUUCAGAUCGAAGGCUGCAACUCGCCUUCGUGAAGGAGGAAUCGCUAGUAAUUGCAGGUCAGCAUACUGCAGUGAAUUCGUUCCCGGGCCUUGUACACACCGCCCGUCACACCAUGGAAGUUGGUCACGCCCGAAGUCAUUACCCCAACCGAAAGGAGGGGGAUGCCUAAGGUAGGACU